rnacentral:miRNA from 1 species
ACCGUGGCUUUAGAUUGUUA